UACGGGGGGGGCAAGCGGUUGUUCGGAAUUACUGGGCGUAAAGGGCUCGUAGGCGGCCAACUAAGUCGGAUGUGAAAUCCCCAGGCUCAACUUGGGAACUGCAUCCGAUACUGGAUGGCUUGAAUUCGGGAGAGGGAUGCAGAAUUCCAGGUGUAGCGGUGAAAUGCGUAGAUAUCUGGAGGAACACCGGUGGCGAAGGCGGCAUCCUGGACCAAUUCGUGACGCUGAGGAGCGAAAGCCAGGGGAGCAAACGGG
rnacentral:rRNA from 1 species